rnacentral:rRNA from 1 species
GUCUACGGCCAUACCACCCUCAACGCGCCCGAUCUCGUCUGAUCUCGGAAGCUAAGCAGGGUCGGGCCUGGUUAGUACUUGGAUAGGAGGGCUUUUCUUAAACUUUAAUAAAUCGUAUCUA